rnacentral:rRNA from 1 species
AUGAUCCAAUAUGCAUACAAACGGAAAUUGCCGGUCAUUGCUCUGAAGUUGGACUUCCAUAAAGCUUUUGACAGUGUCAGUUGGUCCUGUUUACACAAAGUACUUGAAGCCAGAGGUUUUCCUCAGUUGUGGAUUAGUUGGAUUCAUACGCUUUUCUCAACUGGCAGCUCUAAAGUCCUUCUUAAUGGCGAGAUGGGUGCUCCCAUCCGAGCUAAGCGAGGGUUUCGGCAAGGCGACUCCUUAUCCCCGUACCUCUUCAUUAUUGUUGCAGACGUACUGCAGAGAAUG